rnacentral:sRNA from 1 species
CAAGGGAAAAGUGUGAAAAUUCACGGAAACAAGUGAAAAAAGGUGGUGAAUCCUCAGAUAAGGGCAAAGAAAUUGUACUCGAGGAUCGAUAGUUGGAGUACUCUAAAAAUUUGACUCCCAAAAUAGCUCAGGAUAGUUUGUAGAUAGCUGAUAUCGUCGAAGGCUACAGUUGGCUUUACUUCCUCAAAAAUCGUAGGUUCACAACCUUCGUUCACUUUUGUCAUUUAGGGGCCCACGUGUCAUUGUAAAUUAAAUUACAUACCUUGACUAUCUGUAUUACAGUAUGUAUAAAUUUAUUUUGC